AUUGAACGCUGGCGGCAUGCUUUACACAUGCAAGUCGAACGGUAACAGGCCGCAAGGUGCUGACGAGUGGCGAACGGGUGAGUAAUGCAUCGGAACGUGCCCAGUCGUGGGGGAUAACGCAGCGAAAGCUGCGCUAAUACCGCAUACGAUCUAUGGAUGAAAGCGGGGGACCGUAAGGACUCGCGCGAUUGGAGCGGCCGAUGUCAGAUUAGGUAGUUGGUGGGGUAAAGGCUCACCAAGCCGACGAUCUGUAGCUGGUCUGAGAGGACGACCAGCCACACUGGGACUGAGACACGGCCCAGACUCCUACGGGAGGCAGCAGUGGGGAAUUUUGGACAAUGGGGGCAACCCUGAUCCAGCAAUGCCGCGUGCAGGAAGAAGGCCUUCGGGUUGUAAACUGCUUUUGUACGGAACGAAACGGCUCUGGUUAAUACCUGGGGCUAAUGACGGUACCGUAAGAAUAAGCACCGGCUAACUACGUGCCAGCCGCCGCGGUAAUAC
rnacentral:rRNA from 1 species